CUCGGAUCAUGUAGGGAUACUCGCUGAACAUAUUCAUAUCAUUAUUCGGCAGGAAGAA
rnacentral:rRNA from 1 species